CGACUCCAGAAAAAAGUUUAAAAGUGUUCAGGGAAGGGAGGAAUGAAAGCGGGCCAUUAACUGGAGCCACCACCCGCGCUCCUGCUGAGUCUGGGUCUUGGCCGGCUCCUUGGCAGGGAGCAAGGCUGGAGCGCGGCUUGUGGACUGUGGCGGCGGAGUUUGCUUUUCUAAGGAUCAGGGCUUUGCAGAAACUUUCCUUCCCACAUUUUUCAUAUCUCAGAAAUCUGCGUGGCACCCUUGGGAAGGAGUAGGGGCUAGGUACUGUUUCCGCCUGGAAGAAAACAAGCCACAGAGAGGUAGAAACUUAGAACUUCCAAGGGGUGAGCAUUGUAUCUUAACCAUUUUAGCAUACAGCCUGGCCUAGGCCCUCCAUGAAUGUGUGUGGAAUAAGUGAAUGGGUCAAAACGGUUGCUGUAACAAUUCACGUGUAGUGAAGGCGGGCUCUGAGAUCAACAUUAGGUCUCUGGAUACCCUUGAGCUACACCAGUGCCUCGGCUCGGGGGACGGAACGAUGGAACUCAGCGCCAGUUUUGUCUGGUUAUGCUGCUGACACACCUUCCCCAUUAUCCUAAACUAACGAAGGAAUUUCCUGGCAUUUGAAAAGGGUAAAUUGAGUCUUCAGGUUGCACAAUGGAGCUAUCAUAGUAGGGAGAUGGAGUUUUGGUUAGAGGAACACAAAGUUCAAAGUCUUUUCCUUCUUGGUGGCUUUCUUUCUGUGUUCCUGCACCACCAAGGCUGUGAGACCCAGAAGUGGGGCUGUGAGGGCAGAGGCCAGGAGGCAUGGUGGCCUCUAGUCCUUGCCCUAAGUUAGGCCCUAAGAUGAUGAGGUAGAAAAACGGACUAGGCACCGGGAAGAAGCACACCUGGUUUUGGGUAGUUGGUGAUGUUUGUGUCAGCUGUUUCUCAGGAACCUCCCCAGGACACUAGAAAGGAAUUUGACCACCAAUCAAGUACAAAGAGAAGUGACUAGGGAUUUAGGCUUGUUUCAAAUGUAUUUCAUUAUUUUUUCCCAUGAUGCAAUUUGGGGAUGAUUUUUUGGGGCCCUCUCCCCACUGCCCCAAGAGGCUUCCACUGUGAGAAUCUCUGACCUACAAUGCUUGUGUUUGAAUCCUGGUUCUUCCACUCCUCUGCUGUGUGACCUUGGGCAAGUCACUUAACCUCUCUGAGUCUCGGCUUCCUCAAAUGGAAAGUGGGGAUGAUAACGGAACUUAAGUCACAGGUUUGUUAUGAGGCUUUAAUGACUUAACAUAUGUAAGGCUCUUAAAAUAGUAUACAUAUGCUAGCUAAGAUUGUUGUCAUUUUGCUUAAGCCCCAUCAAUCAGAUAAUCUGACACGGGGGCCAAAUUAGAUAUCUUUCAAAAUUGAUACUUUUUGAUAGAAUCCUGUCUAGAGGCUGGAGAAUGAACUAGUGGAACGCUCAAGGUUCUCUUACAAGUAAUAGGCUCCUGUGAAAAUUCUGAUUUCCUUCUUUGUUACCAUCACAACUAGCUUUGAACCAUUCUUCGAGCUGAGCCCCUGAGUUCUUUGUAGGGCAUAAUGCACUAGUUCUCCGGACGAAUUUUAGGGCAAUUUGAGUAUGUUGGUUAAGGUUUUUGAAAUCUUACCAUGAAAGGCUCUAAAUGUCUAUUCGCACGGCGCAGUGCGCCUCUUCUGCUUUGAGCACCAGUUGUGAAACCGAAGCCGGGAUUAAACUGUGAAAUGUCAGCGGAUGGUCUGGAGUCUUCUGGAGUAAAUUCCUGCACACUUUAGAUAACUAGAAGCAAAUAUGACAUGACCUUGAGGUCCACCACCAUUUUAGGAAGAGUGGGCACAUCUGAAUUCCAAUUCAACGCUCUCGUGAUAUAUUCUCAUGAAGAAAAAAGAAAUCCUGCUCAUGCAGAGGAGUUAAGUGUUCUCCUUUGUUGCCUUAACACCUGCCAUGUCCUCGGAUCUCACCUUCUAAUCCAAGCAGUGCAUCAAGGGUUUCUUCCUGGCCUAUUUGAGCUUGAACGCUCUCUGGGCUCAGGUCACAUGAAGACAUUAUCAUCACCUCAUUGUUCAAAGCACCUGAUCGUAGAACCUGGCGGGUGAACAAUUGCUGAAUGACAAACGCCGUAAGCACUGGCCUGCCUUGCCUAAUUAUACAGCUGUCAUAGUGCACUGGGCAAUUUUUCUUUCCAACGUCUCCUCCCCUCUGCCCAGCUUCAAACCACAUAGUAAAGAGAAGAAUCCACAGAGCUCUGCAUUCGGGCUUUCAGAGCAACCACAAUGCAAUCAAAGUAUCAGGCUGCAGGAGCGGCAGAAACCAUUUCUAGAGUGUGGUUGACCCAUAUGUUGCACUUGAGUUGUCAUGUGGGUCAGACCAGGGUGCUGCUCAUUGGGGCCACAUGUGAAAAUGAUGAUGACUCAGGCUCCCUGGCUCACUUGUUCUGAUGUCUCGGCUCCUAACUUUGUCUUCUGGCUCUUUAAAUUGGCAGAAAGGACACUGUGGAUCCUUAAGGUCCAUCACAGAGCCGAGGUGGUGGUGUUCACAUAUGAAAAUCAAGCCCUCAGCUUUCCGGGAUGUUGUCAGGAUCAGCAAAGGACUAGAUAAUAUGACAAGAGUGCAAGAAGUAUAAAUCAAGAGAAGGAGAACUAUUAGCCAUAAAUUUAACCUAUAUUGUGAAACUUUAUCAUUUGCUCUCAUUGGGAAUCAUCGUAAACAUCUUAUGAUGCUAAGAGCAAAAUCUUAAUAAGUCCUUAGAACUGUGUGCGGCAUAAAAAGGCCAUUGCAGAUGGGUUAUGCUAUGAGGUUGAAGCUUAUCAGAAUCUAUGAACUCUAGUAAAAAGUGGCCAAAGGAUAGUAGACAGACUUUACAUUUCUCUCGUUCAUGGCUGGCUGUUGGUGCUCACCUCAGAGAUUUGGUGGUAGAAGAUAAGACUGGUGAUAGUAUUUGCCUCCUGACGUUGGUUUGAAAGUACUCCCCAAAUGACCAGUUUUAAGAUCCAGUAUAGCAUAAACCAUGCCUUUUAUUUUCUUAUAUUUUUUUACUAUCCAUUACUAUAUUCUGCAGACAAUAGAAGCUUCAUAAACACUUGAUAACUAGCAUGUGGCAAUGUUUUAUUAAAGUCAUGAUGUCAACAGUCAUUUUAUAUAUAUAUAAAAUUAUGUAUAUAAAUAUAAUAUACAAAUACGUAAUAUAAUACUUACGCAUAUAUAUAAUUUCCAUUUACUCAACUAUUCAUUUAACAUGAAUUUACUAGAUGUCUACUUGUGCCAGGAUUUUUGCUCAGGUUUGGGAGGUAUUAAGUUGUAAGAAAUUAUUCCAAUAUUCAGAAUCAGGUUUGACAUUAUGUAAUACACCAAUUUAAAUAUUUAGUGACCAAACUAUGGUUGCUUAUUCAGAUGUUACGUAUAUUUAUUUGUUUAUUUAUUUAUUUAGGGGUUAUCAUUUUGUUCUUGCAUGAAUACACUCGAACUCAAUUGUGGGAAGACACAGACAAUGAAAGCUUAGUUUUUCUGUAGAAACAACAUGUUUUCCACUCCUUCUCCUUUCUGCUUCUCUUUACAUUAUCUGAUUUUAUUCAGUGGUUUAAUCUCAUGAUAGACAGAUCAAAGCCUUUGAAACCCAGGGAGGUCACAUACUUUUUUUUCCUUUUAAAAAAGUUUUCAUAGAAUACUUUUAGCUUCCUUAACACCAUUAUUUUCCAUUUCAUCUCUAAGGAAUUUUGAUGACUCCCAUGUUCUCAGCUUCCUUGGAAACUCAGUGAAGCCACAUGGCUAAACUCAGGCCAAUAAGAUGUCAACAGAAUUGGGUGCUACCUUAGAAAGUGUCUUUUAAAGGGAUUGUUCACACAGUCCCUUGCUCCUCCCUUCAUUCUCCUGCCUGGAAUGCAGAUUUGAUGUGUGGAGUCCUAGCAGCCAUUUUGGAUCAUGAGUACAUGCACCGCUUUCUAGGGAUAGGAGAGCAAGGAGAUGAAAGGAGCCACCAUGUUACCUCGGGAUGCCUACCUCCUGACUUUUUUCACAUGAAUGAAGAAUAAACUUCUAUCUUGUUUAAAUAAACUUGUUUGGGGUUUUCUGUACCUAAUUCUGACAGAUGUCUGAACCUAAUUCUAACAGAUACUUACAGUCUCCUGAUUUUUGCUGACAUCAAUAUUUAGAUACACCUCUGUGGAAAAUACCUUGAAAAUUUAAAAAUUCAUGAAAAAAAAGUUCUUCAGCACUGACAGCUGGGAAAUAGAGCUACUCAAAUGCUAGAAACCAUGAGAAAUUCCUACCAGAUUCAGUGGAGGUCAAAACAAAGGACCCUGCCUGGCCUCCCCCCACCCCCAAGGUAGAAUACUAUCUGUAAGGGAGUUCUGUGACUUUGAGAGAGACAAGAGGAAGAAAUCGUAGACUUUAGGGACAACUGGAGAACUUGGAGAGGAUGAAUUGGAGAUGAAGAAGGGUGUAGGGUGAUGGAGAAAGCAGCAUUUGGAGCUCCCAUCCCACCAAGUGACACCAGAAUUGAGGUGAGACUUUGGGUGGCUGGAUGAACUGAGCAGAAGCCUCUAGAAGCACUGGUGGCAGUGUCCCUGGAAAAGUUAUUUCCUGAGGCUGAAAUGAUCUCAAUGGAUGCAGCAGGGAGUCGCACGGAGAAGUCUGACCUGCAGAUUUGUGAACAUGGGCAGUUACAUCAAAAUGCCAGCUUCUGCAAUGGCCGUAGUUACAGAGGAGCAGCUUCCUGGGAGGGCACAUUUCUUCACGAAUGUGGUGGGGAGCUGCUCAGGAGAGCUGGGUCUGGGAACUUCAGUGCACUGGGAGCAGAGGGCUGACAAAGAUGGUAAAGGAACUCUCUUGAUUAGUCAGGGAGAUCAUGCCUGCCCCUGGAAGGAAGCUGCCUUGUAGCUGGUCUGACCUCGGAAUAGCAGCUUUGCUAAGAAUGCAGAAGAAAUUCCCUUCUUCACCCCGCCAGCAUUUCCAGACCCCCGUCUCUGUUCCUAUGUCCUCCAAGCCCAUCACCUUGAAAUCUGAACGGUGUCCUCUAGCCGCAAGUCAGGAAGAAUCUCCCACCCCAUUUCUGAGGGAAAUACCAGUCCUGAGUAGACUUUUUACUAUUUCAGUAUGAGAAACCAGAAAAAAAAAUGGAUCUUGUGAAUAAAGAAAUGAGCAUAUAAAGAAUCAUAAAGAAAUGAGCAUAUAAUUUAGAUAAUCUGAAAAUUCGUAAGGAAAUGAGCAUACAGUUUGAAUCAUAGAGA